AGCAGAGCUGUCCCUAGCCAAUAGGCAUUAUAGAAAAAUGCCUAGGGGCAUCCCUUGCCUAGGGGCUAGCUCCGUUACACCAGCCAGGCAGGAGAGUCAGUACGGAGGCUGUAGCAGCAGCACACAGGCAGAAAGUGAGUUUAGUUUCACUUUCUGCCUGACACAGAGGCAGAGCUGAGCAGUGAGCACAGACAGCAGCUGCAGACAUGAGGAAGCCAUUCACAGCCCAUGGAACUACAGGACUCAUCCCCUGCACUGCAGCCACACAGGAUAAAGACAUUGAUCUCCGUGCAGUUUCUACGCAAACGGCGUAUUUGGCCACACGGUAUGGAUCCAAGCCAGUCUGGAUGGUGACAACUGUUUUGUUGAAGCUUCUGUGAUGGCGGUGAGUCCAUCCUGGUGAUCUAUCACCGUAUACAGCGACCUCACAUCCGCUGUCACCAUGAUGAAGUCGUCUUCCCAUGAGAUGGUGGUCAAGAGAUUGAGGAAAUCAGUGAUAUUUCAUAAGCUCAAAAUUAUAUUCAAAGCAUGAAUUGGUCAAUGUCACAGCACCAGAUGUAUCCAAGGCCAGUCAAGCAUAUCGCCAAAAGUUCUGAACAUCGAGGAGGAUUUUGACCUGUCCUGACCUCCAGAGAGGAUGUUCCGGGAAAACCGAUAAUCGCAAAGCAAUAAAUAUAUUUUAAUUGCUAAUUAUAAUCUUGUGUGACAAUUGAUGUGUUUCAGUUUUCAAGACAUACAUGGUGUAUUCUGAUUGGCUAAAUGUAUUGGCACACAUGAAUCCUUUGUUCUAUUACUAUAAAAUAAACCUUAUAUGGCCCCUAAGACAGAUCAACUAUGAACUGCUUAGGUUACACAAUGAUCCUGUGUCACCUUUUCAUUCACUGAUCUCCAACCGGUUGCUAAGGGAAACAGAAUUCUGACUGAUGACUGCAGAGAGUUUAUAGACUAGACCUGAAUAGGUUAACAUACCCUAUCAUUUUGGGACCUCGUCCGGAGAUCUUCCAGCAUCUCCCCCACUGGCAACAAAUCCUCUGAUCUUUCAGGAACCGCUGAUAAAAAAAACCGGUAAGUGAGAUUUAUUGUGUAGAUUUCUACCUGCUCACUUGAACUCAGCGUUUCUUGAAAUCUGGGGAAGUCCAGUCGGGAAGGUCAGAGAAUAUCUUAAAGAACCCAGUGUCAGUCAGAAGAAAUUCUUUAAAGGUACCAUACAUUUAUGUUAUAUUGUUGAAUUGUGGGUAAAUAAUUUCAGAUAAUUUGUCACAAGUGCACAGGGGGAAUUAAUCAAAUAUGCAGAAAACUUUUAAAUUGUGAAAGUACUAAUACAUGUUUAUUAAGAAAAUAGAGCCGUUUUAUAAAGGUGGCGCAUGGCCAAGAUAUGUUCUAAUGCUGAUAACCAGUUUGAAUUGAUAAAUAACCAAAGAGGUAUAUGCAAAUCUUGUACCUGUGUUGUUGUGUUAAGAAAAUACAAAGGGUCCGUAGCACCGAGAUUGGUGGCAAUUACAAGCACUGAAGUCUCAUUUGGUUAUGUGGAAAAUGAUGAUGAAUUUUAUUGUACAAAAGGUUGUCAUUUUAAAAAGGGAAUUGUUGGAACAUUACAUUGAGAAUGAUUGGUCUAACAUCAUAACCUAUUGGCCCAGGAACCACAUAAUCCCAGGUCUAAGACCCAUGUGCCCGUGCAGCCUCAAACAGCUGCCGUGCACACAGAUAACAGAUAUAGCAUUUGUCAUCCUUGUUUUUGUAUCCUUGCACUGUUAUAUGUACUCUGUCAAUAUGCUUUUGAAAAGGUGGGGGGGAGUCGGGUUGUCUGCUGAAUAAUGAAACCAGUGUAACUAGAUUCUGCUGCACACAUUGUACUGUAUAUAUUGUAUGUCCCUAUGCAAGACAGUUAAAGGGGUAGGAUUGGGUCAGUAAUAAAGAACAGCUACUGUCUGAAAGAGACACAAGGUGAACGUAUUCCAAGAAUAGUGGGGAGUUUACCAAGAACACAAGGUACAAGCAGGAGUCUAUAUAGGCAGAGGGAUAGACCCUUGGAGUAACUUAACAAUAAUAUUAGGGACGCAUCUCAGUGAUCCAGAAGAAAUAAUCUAUUAUGCAGGUCUCACUUGGGGAGCAGUACUAACAGAUUUUCCACAAAAGCAGGGAGGAAGGGGCAACACUACAACCCCAGUCAUUUGUCCACAGACGGAUUUAAGGAGCUUUUUAGGUACAAGGAUAGAAGAGAUUCUUCAGAGUCAGCGUCUCACAAGGAGAUUUUAAGUCCCUCAUAAGGGGUUGCUAAAAUACCACAUCAGGAUGGGUUCAAACCCGUGGAUAUUGUUAGUAACAGGGAGGGUAAGAAAAGCUUUAAAAGGAGAUUUUAAGUCCCUCAUAAGGAGUUACUAAAAUACCACAUCAGGAUGGGUUCAAACCCGUGGAUAUUGUUAGUAACAGGGAGGGUAAGAAAAGCUUUAAAAGGAGAUUUUAAGUCCCUCAUAAGGAGUUACUAAAAUACCACAUCAGGAGGGGUUCCGCGCACGUUCACCCAGGCAUGGGAGCGCGGUCUGUAAAGAUGUCAGGGCCCGACAAACCCGUGGAUAUUGUUAGUAACAGGAAAUCUCUGAAAGGAAUAAGUAAAAUUUUCAAAAGAGCAGGUUUUCCAUCAGAAGGGACACUAGACUUAGAGAAAUGGGAAAAAUUUGCCUCCUGUAACAAGAGUUGGAUAAUUAAGCAUAAUAGUAGAGAUCAAGCAUCCAUCUGGAUCACUGUAGCAAAAUAAUUAGGAGCAGAGAAUAGAAGAAGAGAUGAGGAAAAUGAUUUCCCCAUUGUACCAGAGUACUCAACAGCACCACAACCAGCGUUAAACUCACUGCCUGUAAUUGCAGCAACAGCACCUGCACACUAUACCCCACCCCUAUACCCAGACAUGCAUGCACACCAAGGUACCCAUAGUAUGAACAGAAUGAAAUCAUCUGCAAGCUCACUAACAGUAAAAUUGAAAAAAAGAUGAGCCAGGAAAAGAGUGACGAAUAAUCAGCCCUAUCUUAGAAUGAUCUGUGGUUGAAAAUCCGAAUGAUUUACCUGAGCUAUGUGUACAGAGUAUGCCCCAGUGUCCUGAUACUUUAUCACAAGAAACCCCAACAAGACCAACCAAAGAAACUGGGCAGCUAAAGUUCCCCUCAUGUUUAAACGAGUGGUGGACACCUGGAAUCAAGCUAUGAGUCCAGUAAACAAUUGUCCACAAUCAGGAACUAUAGGCGAAAGGGUGCAAAUCAGGUGAAGAGGAGAAGCAAGGGGUCAAGACACAGCCUCUACAGUUUUUCAUGCCCAGGUGCAUAAUGUACAGAAUAAACUGACAUAUUUUCCAGAAAGAUUGUGUCCGGUAUGUCAGUUUUGCGUUCCAGAAGGAUAUGAACAUUGCCCAAAUUGUGGAAACUGGAUUUCACACCAUGCACCACCAUGCCAAGAUAUCUAUGCGACUAGAAAUACUGAAAGACGGUCAUCAUUGCCUAUUUCUCUGUAUCCAGCACAAGUACAGAGAAUACGCAACCCAGAUAAUGCAGCCAGGACGAACGAACCAUACAUCGUACAGAGCCAACACCACAAACCAUGGUAUGGCAAUGGCCUCGCAAAUAUAGUUGCAGAGUCCCUAGAUCCUAGAAAAAACCCAAUAGCAGUUUAUGCCUAUAUGGAAAGAAUUCAAACCAUAUGGACACCGGCAUGGGUCGACUACCACCAGUUGUGUGAGGCUAUACUAGGACCAGCAACUGCCCAAACAGUAAGCACCAUGUUAAAAGCAGAUGCAGUAGAUGAUUGCCCAGCCAUAACGGACGUUCCGACAGAGAAAAAUAGAACAACGUUUGAAAGUGGAAAGAUGUACAUGACAAGACUUAAGAGAUGGUGUCAUGCACAGACACUCAGGGCACCAGCAGCCCCAGAUUUGAAACAGGAAAAGACUGAGUCCAUCAGAACUUACUAUGAUAAAGUCACUAUACGACACACAAGAUGAUAGAAUAUGAAGGUGUGCAACUCCUGUGUCCGGCAACAGUGUACUCAGUCACCACUGGCAGUUCGAUAAAAGUGACUUUACCCACAGGAGACCCAAGGGUUUCAAGAGCUGUUUUUAUGCACAACCAGAUUCCUCUACGUUUACUUACAGAUCAAGCCAUUGCAACGACUGGAUUGGGAGGUUAAGCCCUACCCCUGCAAGAAAGCAAAGAUGUAACCUGAAAUACAAGCUGCUAUACAAGACUAUCUCUCACAGGAAAAGUAAGACAAAGAGGAACAACAACUCCCAGCAUAAACAUCAUUAUGUUAAACACCAGCCUGGGUGGACUUGGAAAAAGAAAAGUUGAGAAACAAUAUGAAGGUUGCAUGAAAGUUUGGAGACUAAAGGAAGUCUGCUUUAAGAAGGACAAAGAAAGACAUCUGACAAGUGGUCAGUACUACCUGGCAAGAUUACAGAGAUAAUGCCAUGAUUUAAAGCAACAGAAGCUCCGGGGUUUAAAGCAAAUAAUAAGGAACAAGACAGAAAAAGUUCCAGAAGACAAAUGAAUGAUGCUUCUUCUGCCAAUAUGAGGUACGGGCUUCUUCGGGUACUCCCCAGUGAACAUAAUGUCUCCAGAGGAAACAGCAGAAGGUAUGAUUACAGUCACCUUGCCCACUGGAGAAAUACGUUUGUGCCUAAUGAAUGCUGGAGCCGGCACACGCAGAAGACAGCAGAGGGAGAUACCACAAGAACUGGUGAUAUCAGAAAUUCUUAAAGGGACAUGAGAUGAGAGAAAUGCAGUCACCAAUACCAGCCCAGUUCUUGACCUCGGAGUACAUGUCCAGUGACUUUGCUGAAGCACAAUGUACUAAAGCUUAUCCAAGGAGAAUACAGUACACACCAGCAGAAGUUUAACUUUCCAGCAACUUAUCAAAGGAAAGAACAAAAAGCCAUUUAGAAGCAAGUUAAAACAGAAGUUCAGUAUUGGCUCAUUCCCGCAGUACCAGUUGUAGAAGAAAGGAAGCAAUACUACUGGACCAGGAUAGCUUUGUGGAGGGGCUAUAUCACCAAGUGAUUUAUCCACAAAACACACAGCUAAAUACAGGAUGUGAAUGAACUGUUGAUUGCCACCACCACUAAAAGAAGUACCAAGAAGGGGCAGUGUCCUUAGUGAAGUUUCUGGAAGAACAAGACUGCAGAGCCUCAGAAGGAGAAAUUGCAGCUAGUCAAGCAAGAGUUAAUCUUCCUAGGACACCCAAGGUACCCGACAUCUAACAAAAGUGAGAAGGAAAAGAUUCAGACUGCAAGCUAAGAUGCCAACUAGUGUCAAGCAAAUCAGAUGAUCAUUCCUGGGCCUAGUAGGACACUACAGAACACGGAUACCUCUAGCACCAGUCUACAUGCAAGCAUUGUAUGACAACACUGAAAGGGAGGAGGGUCCGCAUCCUACAUACAGCAACAGAUGAAUUAGGCUAUUGAACAGUUGGAAACAGCAGUUGCCUCAUCUCAAGCCCUAGAACUACCUGACUAUUAAAGAAGGAGGCCAUACAUAGAAGUCCUUAUGCAAAAUCAUGGACUGAGGUAAGACCAGUGGCCUACAACUCAAGCAAGCUUGACAGCGGUAAUCAAAGAGCACCUACCGGCAUCAGAGCAGUGAUAGCAGCAACAGUCCUAGAAGAGUAUAAGAGCACAGACACAGUGAUGAAUCAGAAGUCCUAGAAGAGGACAAGAGCACAGGUAUAGUGCUGAAUCAUGAACUUAUCAUCCAGGGUCCACAUGCAGGUACAGAGAAGCUUCAACAAGCAAGAACCAAACACCUGUCAGUGGCAAGACUGACCAUGUAUGAAGUAGCACUGCCAAAGUGCGACAAGUAACCAUCAGAAGAUGUAUUACCCUCAACGCAGCAACCCUUUUCCAACAUUAAUCAAUAAAGGUGUUGAAUCUCAAGAUUCAAAAGGAGGGAAAAACAGAUUAUCUACUGAUGAAUGGGAAAGCCAGAAGUUUCUAAUAUUCACUCACGAAGGUAAACAAUAUUGUUGGACACGAUUACCCCAAGGGGGAGCCACCAGUCCAUCAGAUUUCUCAGAGGCAAUGGCAUUAAUCCUGCAGAAAUGGAGACCACACUUUACAGACAUCCAGUUAGUUCAAUAUGUCGAUGAUCUGCUUAUUGCUGCACAGACAGAAGAGAAGUGAAAAAAAGGAAAACAGCAUCACUGCUCAUCUUUUUGGCAGAAGAAGAUUGCAGAGUGUCAAAAGACAAGCUUCAGCUAGUACAGAAAAAAGUUGUCUUCUUAGGACACUGCAUAUCUCAAGGAACAAGGCAUCUUACUGAUGAAAGAACAAAAGCAAUAACUCAAGCAAAAACCCCAAGAACAUUAAAUGAAAUCAGAGCUUUUCUGGGCCUUAUUGGUUAUUGCAGAGAAUGGAUACCCUCAGCUUCAUUACUGAUGCAAUCUCUAUAUGAAUUAACAAAAAAGGAGGCGUCAGCAGAAAACAGGGACACCAUUGAAGAAGCAGUAAAAAAAACCUAAAGCAAGCCAUAAUAACAGCCCCAGCAUUGGGAUUGCCUGAUUACAAAAAGCCUUUUAACCUAUUCUGCCAUGAAAACAGAGGGCAUUCUUUAGGGGUGCUCACCCAGAAAUACGGACCAAAACAAAGACCAGUGGCAUACUAUUCAGCCCAGCUGGAUCCGAUUAUCAGAGGAGCACCAUCCUGUGUCCGAGCAGUGGCAGCAGCAGCAAUAAUGAAGGAAAAGGUGACAGACAUCAUUGUGCUUGAUCAUCCACUGUGUAUACAAGUACCGCACGCUGUAACAGAAAUACUAAGUCAAGAAAAAAGCAAGCAUCUUUCUGCAGCCAGACUUACCAAAUAUGAAGUGAUUGCCUAGCCCUCAUGGAAUUAGAGACUUUACCUCUUCCUAAUGUCCAAGAUACACCACUGGACAAUCCAGACAUGAACCUGUUCGUCGAUGGAUCAAGAUAUUAUGAUAAUGGAUCCCCAAGGACAGGAUAUGCAGUAACAACUGAAACUUAAGUCAUAGACUCUGGACCAUUGCUACCAAGAAUGACAGCACAAGAAGCAGAACUCAUAGCAAUGACCAGAGCCUGCAUACAUGCUGAAAACAUGACAGCUAACAUCUAGUCCCAGGAUUACGCUGUUAUUUGGAAAAGUAGGGACUUCAAAGGUGCAAAUGGAAAACCUAUCAAACAUGCCAGUUUGAUUAUGGAACUCUUCAGAGCAUUGGAACUACCUAAAAGGAUUGGCAUAAUCAAGGUACAAGCACAUACUAAGAGCCAAACCAUGGAAGCUAAAGGAAAUGCAUUUGCAGAUGCAGAAGCCAAGAGAAUUGCCUUACAAUCAAAAGAACUUGAGCAAGUCUUAGUAGCUCAAGAUGUGAAGCAAAUGCCCAGUGAGAGGAGUUGAUCAAAAUUCAACAACAAACAUCACAAGGAGAAAAGGAGAAAUGGAGAUGAUUGGGGGCAGAAGAAGAUGAACAUGGACUUUGGAAGUCAAGAGAAUUAAAGUACUGUCUACCAGCAGCUCUAUUUCCACCUAUGUUACAAGUAGCUCAUGGACAAGUACAUCAUUCAAAGGAAGCCAUGGCUCCUGGCUUCAAUAAAGCUGCAACAAACUUUGUAGCAGGAUGCUGGAUCUGUGGAAUCAGCAAUCCAGGACAAAGAACCAAGACACCUCUAGGAACUAUACCCAAAUCCUCUUACCCAUUUGAAAGACUACAAAUUGACUAUAUACAGUGGCCACGAAGCGGUCCAUAUGAAUAUGUACUAGUAGCAACGGACAUGUUUAGUCGCUGGGCCAAAGCCUGGCCAGUAAGCAAAGCCACAGCAAAGAAACUGAUAGCAGAAGUAGUAUGUAGAUUUGGGAUACCUGAGGUUAUAAAAUCAGAUAGAGGUACACAUUUCACAGGAGAAGUCAUGCAGCAUAUAAUGAAAGAUUUGGGGGUACAGCAGGCCUUCCAUGUGCCUUACCGCCCCCAGGCGAGUGGGAGGGGGGACAUCUGAACUUUGACCUUGAGCUAAAACUACAGAAAAUGACAGAAACCAAAAGAACUUGGCCAGAAUGCCUACCUAUAGUCUUGUUUAAUAUUAGGACCACACCCAUGAAACCUAGUAAACUGACUCCAUAUGAAAUAUUGUUUGGGUCAGCUCUAAGAACAGGUUGUUAUUAUCCACAACAAUUACAACAUAAUCAUGGUGAUUUUUACAGGUUAUGUACAGGAGGUCUGUAAAACAUUGACUAACCUCCAUUGCCGAGUGUUUUCUUCCAUUCCAGACCAAGAAGGAUCAGCUACGCAUAAGCUAAAUCCAGGAGAUUGGGUCUAUUUAAAGAGACAUGUGAGAAAGACCUUUGAACCAAGAUAUGAUGGUCUAUAUCAAGUGCUGCUAACCAUGUCUACCUUAAAUUAAGGUGAAAGGUCGUGAUACCUGAUUACAUGCAUCCCACUCGAAGAAGUUGACAGUGACUCUCCAGCCAGAAGAAUGAAGUUGCUUAUCCUUUGGUUGUUGUUAGGGGUAAUCCCCAAGGUUUGGACUAUAAGUCCAGGGGACUGGUUUACUGAAAGGGAAUAGUUCAUGCCUCGUGUAGGUAAAAUAGGGAGAAAAAGUGGAAUCUAAAAGAGGGGAAAUGAUGGUGUAGGGGCUUUCUUAGUAUAGCAAAUAUAUAUUGAUUCAAGCUUUUUCGCAUUAACUAAGAUAUUUACUCCUGCUCACAAAUAUAGGUUCAUGUUUCCUUAAAAGCUUCACAGAUAUUUCAUAAGCUCAAAAUUAUAUUCAAAGCAUGAAUUGGUCAAUGUCACAGCACCAGAUGUAUCCAAGGCCAGUCAAGCAUAUCGCCAAAAGUUCUGAACAUCGAGGAGGAUUUUGACCUGUCCUGACCUCCAGAGAGGAUGUUCCGGGAAAACCGAUAAUCGCAAAGCAAUAAAUAUAUUUUAAUUGCUAAUUAUAAUCUUGUGUGACAAUUGAUGUGUUUCAGUUUUCAAGACAUACAUGGUGUAUUCUGAUUGGCUAAAUGUAUUGGCACACAUGAAUCCUUUGUUCUUUUACUAUAAAAUAAACCUUAUAUGGCCCCUAAGACAGAUCAACUAUGAACUGCUUAGGUUACACAAUGA